rnacentral:rRNA from 1 species
GACGGGUGAGUAACGCGUGAGAAUCUGGCUUCAGGUCUGGGACAACCACUGGAAACGGUGGCUAAUACCGGAUGUGCCGAGAGGUGAAAGGUUAACUGCCUGAAGAUGAGCUCGCGUCUGAUUAGCUAGUUGGAAGUGUAAAGGACUCCCAAGGCGACGAUCAGUAGCUGGUCUGAGAGGACGAUCAGCCACACUGGGACUGAGACACGGCCCAGACUCCUACGGGAGGCAGCAGUGGGGAAUUUUCCGCAAUGGGCGAAAGCCUGACGGAGCAAUACCGCGUGAGGGAGGAAGGCUCUUGGGUCGUAAACCUCUUUUCUCAGGGAAGAACACAAUGACGGUACCUGAGGAAUAAGCAUCGGCUAACUCCGUGCCAGCAGCCGCGGUAAUACGGAGGAUGCAAGCGUUAUCCGGAAUGAUUGGGCGUAAAGCGUCCGCAGGUGGCGAUGUAAGUCUGCUGUUAAAGAGUCUAGCUCAACUAGAUAAGAGCAGUGGAAACUACAUAGCUAGAGUACGUUCGGGGCAGAGGGAAUUCCUGGUGUAGCGGUGAAAUGCGUAGAGAUCAGGAAGAACACCAGUGGCGAAGGCGCUCUGCUAGGCCGUAACUGACACUGAGGGACGAAAGCUAGGGGAGCGAAUGGGAUUAGAUACCCCNGUAGUCAA